CCUACGGGAGGCAGCAGUGAGGAAUAUUGGUCAAUGGGCGCGAGCCUGAACCAGCCAAGUCGCGUGAGGGAAGACGGCCCUACGGGUUGUAAACCUCUUUUGCCGGGGAGCAACGGGCGCCCGGGGUGGCGCCACUGAGAGUACCCGGAGAAAAAGCAUCGGGUAACUCCGUGCCAGCAGCCGCGGUAAUACGGGGGGUGCGCGCGUUAUCCGGAUUUAUUGGGUUUAAAGGGUGCGUAGGCGGAUUGUUGAGUCAGUGGUCAAAUUGAGGGGCUCAACCCCUUCCCGCCGUUGAAACUGGCGAUCUUGAGUGGAAGAGAGGUAUGCGGAAUGCGUGGUGUAGCGGUGAAAUGCAUAGAUAUCACGCAGAACCCCGAUUGCGAAGGCAGCAUGCCGGUUUCCGACUGACGCUGAGGCACGAAAGCGUGGGGAUCGAACAGGAUUAGAUACCCUAGUAGUC
rnacentral:rRNA from 1 species